rnacentral:rRNA from 1 species
UCUGGCGACUAUAGUGCGGUAGUUCUACCUGAAUCCAUUCCGAACUCAGAAGUAAAAUGCCGUAAUGCCGAUGGUAGUGUGGGGUUUCCCCAUGUGAGAGUAGGGCAUCGCCAGAU